rnacentral:sRNA from 1 species
GGAUGAGAGGGUGAUCUGACAGAGACAGCUGUCAUCCAUCAUCCCGUUGACCUUCGGGGUUAAUUCACCUGAUCUGGCUGGCUGACUGCGGGUCAUCUCCACCCACCCUCACUACCCCAUGGGCAUCCCCUUUGAAACUCCUUGAAUGAUAAUUUAAAAAAAAAGAGAAGAGAGCACUUCUUUCAUCAGAAAUGGCUAUUCAUUCUUUCAACAAAUGUUUAUUGAGCCCUUUCUUAUACGUCAAGCAUUGUCUAGGAUAUGGUG